GAUCCAGAAGGUCAAAGUGCACCUCCAAAGAAGACACACUACUCAGUGGUUCUACGAGGCAUAUAGACAAAACAGGGAAAGGUACGCUCUUUGCUCUGGGCCUAAAAAUAAAUGUUGCAGAUGACUCAGGAGCAACUGUAGUCCCCGUUUAUGGAGACAAAACUGCAGCACUAGGAAGGAAUGUGUUUCUGUGCCACUGAAGAUGAAGCUGUGAUGUGGCUCUGUGGAUAAGAGCAGGUACUCACGUCUCUUCUCCGUGAUGUGCAGCAGGCUAGCAGUGUGCCCCGACAGGCCACCCUCCUCCCCU